rfam:Enterobacter cloacae SCF1, complete genome.
CCCCGUACGCUGUGCGGGGCCCCUAUUCUGCUUUGUACCAGGGGGUCCUUCGUG